AUAUUAGGGUUUCACACUUCACUAUCCUUAGCCGUCAAACCUCCCAUUUUUUCUCUCUCCUCUUAAUUAUCUCACUCAAUCUCAGCUCGCUCUCUUCUCCGAUUCACCUCAAUCCAUUCACUCAAUCUCCUCCAUUUCACCACCCUAAUUCCCAAAGUUCCCCUCUUUCUCUUUUCUCUAAAUUGCAUCAAUGGCGGAGGACCCAAUUUAGAAUGUCUUUUGAACGAAUCUCGUUACUUAGAAGUGAAUAUGGGGGUGAUGAUUCAGGGUCAAGAACAUUGCAGUUAUGGGUGUUUAUAUCUCUUCGAUUUUUUCAAGCAAAUUAGAUUGGAGAAACCCGCUUCUUCUUUAAGAGAAAGUGAACAAAACCCUAGUUUUUUGCCCUAAUUUCACCGCCUCAAUAUCCCUUUUUUCUGCUCAUUCAAACCCUAAGCUUUUGAAGCAGAAUCGCCACUCUCUUGUGUACGAUUUUGAUGAUAGAUGCGGUUCCUCAACGAAGUUUUCUUUGUGAGAAGGGAAGAAUGUUUAGGUGUCUGAGAAUCGCCGGUGAUUGCUGGUCAGAAUAAGGGGCUUCUAAUUAUUUGGAUGAUAGUGGUAGGGAUGAUGAUUCCGAUGUCGAAAAUGACUCUACAAUUACAAAGGCGGAAUCGAAGAAAAUUGACGAUGAUUCGGAAGCCGUAACUUCUGAUUUCUACAUGGAAAAAGGAACAACAUUAAAGAUACCAGAGGUGUUUAAGCAGUACAAAGAUGUACGUGAGUUAAAUUAUUUAGUGACCACCAGGAAGCUUAUCCUUGAUCUUUUCCAUAAUUCCUUUAUUCUCUCCGUUAAUUCACAUCUUGGUUAGUCUAAUUUGAGUUUCAAUUUUUACUUAAUUAUCUCAUUUUUUUUGUUGAACAUUGAAGUUUAUGAUUUAUAAUUUGGCUUAAAGUUUGGUUUAUUUGAUUAUGUUAUUGAUAAGAAAAUGUUGUUUAUAGGAUUUUGUUGCAACUAAUUGGUGUUGUCAGAUUUGAAUUUGAUGGAAUAUAGUUACAAACUUAUUACAAUUGAGUUGUUGUUGAGUUGGUUGAUAUGUUUUCUAGUUUUAGUUGGCAUUGGAAAAGAUGCAACUUUUGUUGAGGUUGCCGAAUUCAUCUUGACAUUUGAUUAGUGUAAGGUCUUGGAGCGGCGGUUUCCUAAAAAGUUGAAAUAUUACAAGUGGAAACAAGCUUUUUCGCUUGUCUUAUCCUUCGAUUUUGAAUGUUAGUAGUGAAGGCCAAUGUAUGGGCACGAUAAAGAAGUCAAAUGAUGUAUUGAGAACAGGCUCUUCUUGAUUAUGAGAGAUACAAGACAAGUAGUGAUGGCUCUAGCAUUCUCAGUUCACUUGCUGUGCCUAUCGGAGCUGAAAAUCAGGUUUGUAAAAUUGUAAAGCUAAUCAAAUGUGUUUGUUUCUAAUACUUGUAUUUGUCUUAUCUAACAUGUCACCACUGUAACAUUUGGCCAUAAGAAUAUGGGAAAACCCACUUGUAUGUGAUAUCUAAUAUGUUUCUGAAUGGUUGUCCUCAACACCUGGACCUACUUCUUCGUGGGUGGCUGUUUUUGUAACAUAUAUAUUUCAUUCAUAAAUGAUCCUUUGCAACUUUCUAGUAAUAUCUGAUUUAAAAUUUUUUAUUGGCAAUAUAAGUUUAUAAAGAACAACAAUCUGCUGUUAUUGCUGUUGCUGAAACAGUUUCGAAUUAUGAGCAAACGAGAGAGAAACGGAUCGAAUUUGAAUCUAAUCUUAAGUAUAGCAAUUAGCAAGUGCAUGACUUGUUUUUAAUUUCUUUAAUUGAUAAAAUCAUUUGAAUGUUGUAUAGCUUUUGCUAAUUGAAUUUGAACUGUAUACUUGUAUAAAAUAUUAUUUAAAAUUAUUUAUUUUUUGUAAUUGAUAAAAUCAUCAAGCUAUCCACUAUCCAGCAUAUGCUGGAUUUUAUAAUAGUAAUUCAAAUUUGGCAGCAGACUAGCAUGUAUCACUUGCUGCAUUUUUUAGAAUUUGGUUUCAAUUGUAUUUGUAACGGGCGGUUUAAAUGCUUGUUACAAAUAACUUGUUAUUCGUAACGACAAUUAAACUGUCCGUUUCGUAACGGACAGUCAAACUGUCCGUUAAGAAUAACGGGUUAUUCGUAACGGGCAGUCAAAGUGCCCGUUACGAAUAUCAUAUCCUAUCCGUAACGGCAACAUACGUAACGCCCGUUGCUGGUUACGGAUAGGCUGCUUUUGCCCGUUACGGAUAGCUAUUUUUCUACUAGUGAGGGAUUGUCUUUAGUUGCCAAAAUUGACCGUGAUUCCUACGAAAGUGAGUCUUAGUGUAUAUUCUCUUUUUAUGUCUUAGUUUUUCAUUUUUGAAUAAGUCUUUCAUCCUUUUUCUCGCUUGCUUGGUUUUGCUCGAGGACGAGCAAAAAUUUAGCUUGGGGGAAUUAGAUGAGUAUCAUUUAUGUUACUCAUUUAUUCUCUUUUAGGGUGGUUUUAGAUUGCUUUUAUAGCUCUUUUCUUUCCUUUUUCCUUUGUUUUGCUCUUUAUUUCUUUAGUUUGCACUUUACUUAGUUGAUUUUCCAUUUUUAUGCAUUUUUUGGUUUAUUUUAUCUUUUUCCCUUUUAUUUGUUUGUUUCCAUUCAUUUUUCAGGUUAAGAUCGUUGUCCAAGGAUUCCCGAGUCUUGCAUUAAUUAGGAUGCCUAGUGUUCUCCAUUUGAAGCUCAAGUUUAGAGAUGUGCAAGUUCCAAUUGACCUUAGGCCGUGCAUUGAAGCCGUGGGGGCACGAAUUCUCGUGUUGAACCCACCGUCGAGGUGAUUUUGGGUUUGCCAUGCUCCGUGUUCAUCAAGCACAUAAAGUGGAGCGCACGAGGAGCAUAAAAAUGAGAGGGAAGGAGGCUGUCCUGUUCCCUUGCGCGGCCGUGUAUCCUGCCCCCCUAUUCCAUACCCAUUUGUGCACGGCCGCACAUCUUCUUGAAGAAGGCAACACCUUUACGGGUCUAUUUUGGACGAUAUAACUAACUUGUCUUUGUUAGUUUUACUAUAUAUUGACUUCUCUUCUAUUUUUAGAGGGAGAAUUGAUUUUUAGAGAUUUUAAGAGAAUUAGAAUUAAAGUUUUAGAGAGAAACACUUGUUCUUAGAUUUAUAGAGAGAGAAUUUGAUGAUUGAUGGUUCUAAGCACAAUUUCCUUUGAUUUCACUAAAGUUUAUAAGGAAAUCUUUUACUUUAAUGCAAUCUUUAGUCUCUUGAUUUCAA